rnacentral:rRNA from 1 species
UAUGGCCUGGAAUAACACGAGGAAACUUGUGCUAAUACUGGAUAAGUCUUUACGGAGAAAGCUUUAUGCACCAUUGGAUGAGCCUGCACUUGAUUAGUUUGUUGGUAGGGUAAUGGCCUACCAAGACUGUGAUCAAUAGCUGAUUUGAGAGGAUGAUCAGCCACAUUGGGACUGAGACACGGCCCAAACUCCUACGGGAGGCAGCAGUGGGGAAUCUUGCACAAUGGAGGAAACUCUGAUGCAGCGAUGCCGCGUGAGUGAAGAAGGCCCUUGGGUUGUAAAGCUCUUUCGUCGGGGAAGAAAAUGACUGUACCCGAAUAAGAAGGUCCGGCUAACUUCGUGCCAGCAGCCGCGGUAAUACGAAGGGACCUAGCGUAGUUCGGAAUUACUGGGCUUAAAGAGUUCGUAGGUGGUUGAAAAAGUUGGUGGUGAAAUCCCAGAGCUUAACUCUGGAACUGCCAUCAAAACUUUUCAGCUAGAGUAUGAUAGAGGAAAGCAGAAUUUCUAGUGUAGAGGUGAAAUUCGUAGAUAUUAGAAAGAAUACCAAUUGCGAAGGCAGCUUUCUGGAUCAUUACUGACACUGAGGAACGAAAGCAUGGGUAGCGAAGAGGAUUAGAUACCCUCGUAGUCCAUGCCGUAAACGAUGUGUGUUAGACGUUGGAAAUUUAUUUUCAGUGUCGCAGUGAAAACGAUAAACACACCGCCUGGGGAG